rnacentral:tRNA from 1 species
AGCAGAGUGGCUUAGCAGAAAGAGCGCAAGCCUGAGAGUCAGAGGACCUGGGUUCUAAUCCCGGCUCCGCCA